rnacentral:rRNA from 2 species
UGACUGCGUACCUUUUGUAUAAUGGGUCAGCGACUUAUAUUCUGUAGCAAGGUUAACCGUAUAGGGGAGCCGUAGGGAAACCGAGUCUUAACCGGGCGUUAAGUUGCAGGGUAUAGACCCGAAACCCGGUGAUCUAGCCAUGGGCAGGUUGAAGGUUGGGUAACACUAACUGGAGGACCGAACCGACUAAUGUUGAAAAAUUAGCGGAUGACCUGUGGCUGGGGGUGAAAGGCCAAUCAAACCGGGAGAUAGCUGGUUCUCCCCGAAAGCUAUUUAGGUAGCGCCUCGUGAAUUCAUCUCCGGGGGUAGAGCACUGUUUCGGCUAGGGGGCCAUCCCGGCUUACCAACCCGAUGCAAACUGCGAAUACCGGAGAAUGUUAUCACGGGAGACACACGGCGGGUGCUAACGUCCGUCGUGAAGAGGGAAACAACCCAGACCGCCAGCUAAGGUCCCAAAGUCAUGGUUAAGUGGGAAACGAUGUGGGAAGGCCCAGACAGCCAGGAUGUUGGCUUAGAAGCAGCCAUCAUUUAAAGAAAGCGUAAUAGCUCACUGGUCGAGUCGGCCUGCGCGGAAGAUGUAACGGGGCUAAACCAU